GUUUCACUUCUGUUUCAAAACCCCACGACAGCCGCUUUUCCUUAAGUGAAUUUUUCCUUUGGAAUGAAAUCUUUUAUCUUUGCCUUGACUUGUAUAUCAGUAAAUGUUUAGCAGUAUGUUAACUGUUAUCUUCUGUGUACUAAAGCACAAGAUUGUUUAGUAUAAUUAAAUCAUGGGAUGUCUCCUCUGCCCAUCUUAGCGCUGAUAUUCUUUUCAUCUAGGUGAUAAAAGCCAGACAUACAUUAAUCCACAUCAAAUUGUCUCAUGAUAACUUGAAAAAUUACGAGAGAAUGUUAUCUAAUCGUGAAAAUAAGUUAAAUUCCUCCCUUUCCUAUAAAUAAGAGGGGCUUUUUGUUUUUUUUGUUUUUCCUAUUUACAAAGCAGGCAGAAGAUCAGUGAGUAGGGUCAUUUUUCUCUUCCAUUAUGGAACACAUAUGAUAUAUUUAUUGUUUCUAAGAGUUGUUCCUUAGGGCUGAUUUGUCAAAAGGACAGCCUGACCUAUGUCUUCCCUACACAGCCAGCUGAACGUCAAACAAAUGUCUCCUUCAUUCCAAAGACACCACUCUAUUCUAUUUAGGUAGAAGAUGAUGCUGGCUUCAGUUUGCAGCAGGAAAUUGCUUGACUGGAGUACCUUCUGAUGGCAAGCGCAUUUCACAGACAUUUGUAGAGAAGACAUACUCUUGGAGAAACUGUCCCCAAGAUCACAAAAGAAGCCCCUGUGACAAUCAUCUCAGGAUUAAUAGCUCUAAGUGUCUAGCUUGUUUUACACCAGAAGACCAAUGGGAAGCAAGAGACAGGGGGGAGUCAACUUCCCCUUUUCUCCAUUUUGUGGUUCUUCCUUGGAGCCCUUCUAGAAAAGCCCAGUGUGCCAAGCAAAUUUGCUCACCAAGGGGCCUUCUAUGUUACCUUGUGGCCAGGCCAGGAACAUAUUGUUUCCGAUGCUUUGCAUUAUUUCCUUUUUCCUCAUCUUCACCGCUGAUGAGGGAGCAUGAGGCAAGCCAAGGACAAAGUAGAAGCUAGCGCACCACCACCCCCCCAGGUGGGAUAUGUGUGAUAUUCCUCAGGCACUCCGGGCUGCCCGAGAACAAAAGAAAGGAAAAGACAAAUGGUUAACUGAUAGAGAUCACAGUCAUGCAGGACAGGCAUCUCCAUCAGUUUACGCAUAUCUUAGUAAAUUAUAAGAAAAAGGGAGUCUUCUUAUCAAUAGCGUAAUCCCCAGAAACCUAUCGACUCGGUUUCUGGGAGCCCUAAUAUCACCUUUCCCUCCACAGUGAUGUGGGGAACAAAGGCAAGAAGGAAAUGGCAGGUAAAAUUAAAUUUCUUUACAACCUGCAGCCCAUCGACAAAUACUUGAGGCAAAUAUAGAGUAUAACGUUUCCUCAAGAACCCCCUACGGUCCUAAUGUUAACGCUUUACUAGAGGGAAAACAACCUUAUCUUGACAAUAGCUAGGCCUCGGUAUCUUAUGAGUCUUCUUUAGCAUAUCAAAGUCCUUCUGGAGGCCUUCCUUUUGCCUUUAUUUCCCCCAACUCCAUCGCAUAUAACCAGUCACUCUUCACAACUCCAGUGCAGCUCUUUCUGCCCACAGGUCCUGUCUCCAUGCUUUAAUAAAAAUCACUCUUUUUGCA
ensembl:lncRNA